AGAGUUUGAUCCUGGCCCAGGAUGAACGCUAGCGGCAGGCCUAACACAUGCAAGUCGAACGGUAAGGUCCUUUCGGGGAUACACGAGUGGCGCACGGGUGAGUAACGCGUAUGCAACCUACCUUUAACCGGGGAAUAGCUCAGAGAAAUCUGAAUUAAUACCCCAUAACUUCCUUCUUUCGCAUGAUUAGAGGAUUAAAGCUCCGGCGGUUAUUGAUGGGCAUGCGUAACAUUAGUUUGUUGGUGAGGUAACGGCUCACCAAGACUACGAUGUUUAGGGGGUCUGAGAGGAUGGUCCCCCACACUGGUACUGAGACACGGACCAGACUCCUACGGGAGGCAGCAGUGAGGAAUAUUGGUCAAUGGACGCAAGUCUGAACCAGCCAUGCCGCGUGCAGGAUGACAGCCCUAUGGGUUGUAAACUGCUUUUAUACAGGAAGAACUCCCCCGAUUCUUCGGGGACUGACUGUACUGUAUGAAUAAGGAUCGGCUAACUCCGUGCCAGCAGCCGCGGUAAUACGGAGGAUCCUGGUGUUAUCCGGAUUUAUUGGGUUUAAAGGGUGCGUAGGCGGGAUAAUAAGUCAGUGGUGAAAUACUGCAGCUUAACUGUAGAACUGCCAUAGAUACUGUUAUUCUUGAGUAUAGUUGAGGUGGGCGGAAUGUGUCAUGUAGCGGUGAAAUGCUUAGAUAUGACACAGAACACCAAUUGCGUAGGCAGCUUGCUAAACUAUCACUGACGCUGAUGCACGAAAGCGUGGGGAGCGAACAGGAUUAGAUACCCUGGUAGUCCACGCCGUAAACGAUGAUUACUCGAUGUGUGCGAUACAUUGUACGCGUCUGAGCGAAAGCAUUAAGUAAUCCACCUGGGGAGUACGAUCGCAAGAUUGAAACUCAAAGGAAUUGACGGGGGCCCGCACAAGCGGAGGAACAUGUGGUUUAAUUCGAUGAUACGCGAGGAACCUUACCUGGGCUUAAAUGCAGAAUGACUUUCCGGGAAACCGGAAUUCCCUUCGGGGCGUUUUGCAAGGUGCUGCAUGGUUGUCGUCAGCUCGUGCCGUGAGGUGUCGGGUUAAGUCCCAUAACGAGCGCAACCCUUGUCAUUAGUUGCCAGCGGAUAAUGCCGGGGACUCUAAUGAGACUGCCAGUGUAAACUGUGAGGAAGGUGGGGAUGACGUUAAAUCAGCACGGCCCUUAUGUCCAGGGCUACACACGUGUUACAAUGGCCAUUACAGAGGGCAGCUACCUGGUAACAGGAUGCAAAUCUCAAAAAAUGGUCUCAGUUCGGAUCGAAGUCUGCAACUCGACUUCGUGAAGGUGGAUUCGCUAGUAAUCGCACAUCAGCAAUGGUGCGGUGAAUACGUUCCCGGGCCUUGUACACACCGCCCGUCAAGCCAUGGAAGCCGGGGGUGCCUGAAGUCCGUAGCCGUAAGGAGCGGCCUAGGGUAAAACUGGUAACUGGGGCUAAGUCGUAACAAGGUA
rnacentral:rRNA from 1 species